ACAGUCACACAUUAGAUACCCGCGUAGUCCCAGCCCUAGACGAUGCGCGUUAGGUGUAUCGGUGACCACGAGUCACCGAGGCGCCGAAGGGAAACCGUGAAACGUGCCGCCUGGGAAGUACGGUCGCAAGGCUGAAACUUAAAGGAAUUGGCGGGGAGCACCACAACGGGUGGAGCCUGCGGUUUAAUUGGACUCAACGCCGGGAAGCUCACCGGAUAAGACAGCGGAAUGAUUGCCGGGCUGAAGACCCUGCAUGACCAGCUG
rnacentral:rRNA from 1 species